ACAGGAGGCAGCCUGAUAGUUUUUCAUCUUUGCUUUUCUCCCCAAGCUUGAGUCGCAACCAGAUCGGAGAUGUGGGUACCCAGUGCUUAGCUGCCAUCUUGCCAAAACUUCCAGAACUCAGGAAGUUUGAGUGAGUCUCAGCCCUACCGAGAAAAGCCUGCAGGGACUCUACCCUGCUUCUGGGAGACACUGGGCCAGCAAUGGAAAAGGGAAGCUCUCCCAGUCUUGGUGGCAAGAAUUGUCAUCUCCUAUGUCCUCUGGGUCUUUGUGUUCCAUCAGGAGGGAGGCGUGGCUGCAUCUCUUAUGCAAAUGCAGUGGGGAGGGAUGAGGGAAGAGAAGGUCCAAUAAGCUCCCCUUCCACAGCCUCUCAGGGAACAGGAUUGGCCCAGCUGGGGGAGUGCAGCUGGUGAAGUCUCUCACCCAUUUCGAGCACUUGGAGGAGAUCAAACUGGGCAACAAUGCUCUGGGGGAGCCCACAGCCCUGGAGCUGGCUCAGAGAUUGCCCCCACAACUCAGGGUCCUGUGGUGAGUGUUCCCCCUGCCAACUUAGCAUACAGAGCAGUGGAGAGGGGACCCAGGAGAAGUGGGAUCUAAGCAGGCCAGGGGUUGAGCAGCUUAGCCUUAGAUUAGCAUGGCCCACUCCCUGCUGCCACUCCUCAUUCCCCAGAUUAAGCUUAGUGUUGACCCUAUCCCUUGCCUCUGGGAGCCCCUGGCCAAGUUUCUGCCCCUUCAGAGCCUCAGUUUCCUCGUUUGUAAAAGAUGUCACCAACCCAAGCGUUCCUGCUUGAGAACAAGUCUCUGGUGUUUGAAUAAAAUGUCAGCAAAAGGCCAUGUGCAAAAGCUACAAGAGCAUUGUCCCAUCUUCUGUUAAGUCAAGUUGGUGGCUUCCUGAGUCCCAUCCAGCCCUGGGUCUGGGAUUCUCUGAGACAGGA
rnacentral:lncRNA from 1 species